rfam:Hyperthermus butylicus DSM 5456, complete genome.
GCCGCGGUAGUAUAGCCCGGCCAAGUAUGCGGGCCUCUCGAGCCCGUGACCCGGGUUCAAAUCCCGGCCGCGGCA